UUGUAUUUCUUUUCUUCUGGCACUUCAGAAAGCAAGGAUACUGCAGUUUAGACCUACUAUUUUAGCUUAUAUAGGACUCUUUGCUUUUGUCAUCUUGUCCAUCACUAGUUUUCAAAUUGCCAUGAGGAAAGGCUUCAUGUGGGAAUGAGAUUGUAACUUUUUUUUUUUUUUUUGAGACAGAGUCUCGCUCUGUUGCCCAGGCUGGAGUGCAGUGGCAUGAUCUUGGCUCACUGCAACCUCCGCCUCCCAGGUUCCAGUGAUUCUCCUGCCUCAGCCUCCCGAGUAGCUGGGACUGCAGGUGCAUGCCACCACGCCUGGCUAAUUUUUGUAUUUUUUAGUAGAGAUGGUGUUUCACCAUAUUGGCCAGGCUGGUCUCCAACUCCUGACCUCGUGAUCCGCCUACCUCGGCCUCCCAAAGUGCUGGGAUUACAGGCACGAGCCACCGUGCCCGGUGAGAUUGUAACUUAUUUAAAGGAGAUUUAGGAUUGUUUGUGGAUUUCCAUUUCCUUGGCAUAAUCAUUCUAUGAUUAUUAAGGACCAUUUCUGUUCUGAGUGGUAUAGGCUUGUUAUCUCCGUGGCCUGAAUUCUACGCAUAUUGGUGAAGAUAGGUGUCGAACUUGGCUGGGAGAAUGGCUGCAGAUUUCCUGCAGCCUGAAAGGUAAAACACAUUUCUGUGGUUAUACCACUAAAAUCCAAGUCACUUUUGUAUUUUAUUCUGAGGUCAUUUUGGAGUUAAUUAUUGAGUACUGUGAGACAUAUAUAUACAUACAUCUAAUUGAAAGGGCACAAACUCACAUGCCUACUGCAUGCCCGGCAGGUAACGAAGUAGGCCAUAAGACAAGAGGGAGUAGUGGGGACUGUGGAAACCUAAGAGUGAAUGCAUGCUAGUGUGAAUUUUCCAACCUUGGCACUUCCUUAUGGGGGGAAUAUCCUGUGCUUUAUUUAUUUAUUUAUUUAUUUAUUUUGAGACGGGGUUUCGCUCUUGUUGCCCAGGCUGGAGUGCAAUGGUGCGAUCUCGGCUCACCGUAACCUCUGCCUCCUGGGUUCAAGUGAUUCUCCUGUCUCAGCCUCCCAAGUAGCUGGGAUUACAGGCAUGCACCACCACGCCCAGCUAAUUUCGUAUUUUUUUUUAGUAGAGACCAGGUUUCUCCAUGUUGGUCAGGCUGAUCUCGAACUCCCGACCUCAGGUGAUCCGCUGGCCUCGGCCUCCCAAAGUUUUGGGAUCACUGGCGUGAGCCACCAUGUCCAGCCUAUCCUGUUCUUUAUAGGUAUUUAUUAUAGCAGUAUCCCUAGCCUCUACCCACUAGAUGCCAGUAGCACCCCUUCACCCACAGUUGUCUCAACCAAAAAUGUCUCUAGACAUUGCCAAAUGUCCUAGGGGUGGGGAGGAGAGAGGCAGGAUUGUCCCCGUUGAGAAGUACUGGUCUAAAGGCAUUCAAACUCAGAAAAAAAACAGUCUGCUGACCAAACACAAAGCAUCUGAGGGUAUGUAUUAGGCUUGUUUGCCCCCUGUUUAGGCUAGGUCUUGAUGUUUUGUGGGCCUUUGGAUGUUAGGGUAGGCCUACUAAUCUUGAAGCUGAGAAAUGUCCCUAGAGCACCAACUUCUACCAGAAGAAUCCCAACGCGACUGGUGUUUAGUACCAUUACCAUCUCUGAAUUUUCUACUGCAAUCACAUGAGAAAUAGAGGAUGAGUUGAUACGAAUAUAUAGUAGAAGGAAAGGAAGGCAUGCAUACAGGGGCUGAAACAAAGAAGGGGAACUUUGAGAAAAACAGCUUCUUCAUUCCACCCCUCCCUGCACUUGGCUUCCUGCCUCCAGGCUUAAGCCAUAUAUAACAAGGCAGUUAUAAGGCAGUGUUCCCAAGCCAAACCACUAACACUGUGUUUUCAGAAGCUGAGCUGUCUCUCUUGCUGCACAACGUGGUCCUGCUCUCCACCAACUACCUUGGGACAAGGCGCUGAAUGAACCAUGGAGCGGAUGGCAUUGUCCUGCAGUCGUAUAGUAUAGCAGUGCAGGAACAAACAGCACUUGCCAGCAAAGUCUGUGUGUACUGUUAAGUGUGUGGGAGGCAGAGAGAGGAGCAGGGGCCAUGGGCUUCACAGCAUGGCACACAUGUGGGAACUGCAGACAUUCCUCUCACAGCUAGAACUGAAACAAACCCUCUUGCUAGGGGUGGUCCGUGUGAGGUGUCAUCCUGUCCCCCUCAUAAUUACUAAUAGCUGGAACUGGCAGCAGCCUCUACUGGGCUUUUACUGUGAUGUGUUCAGUUCAUGUCCUAGGAAGUCAGCUUUUGCCCCAGGUGGGAAUCCUUAUUUGGCUUAGGACUGAUCCACUUCCAUGUUACUUACAUCUGUGGGUUUUUGUUGUUGCUGUUAGAAAAUUUGUGGCUGGUGAAAACAGCACUCCUUUGGCUGGAGCACAUGUGUCCGUGCAUGUACUUGGGUGUUUCCCUCCAUCCUUUCUGAUAUGACCAAAAAUCAAGUUGUUUUGUUUUUUGUCACCUUCACUGGCAUGGGCUAACCACUUCUUUUUCAAACCCUCUGAACACCUUUUUCUGAUGGGUAACUUGCAGGAAUAUUCUAUUGGAAAAGAUAACAGGAAGUACAAGUGCUUCUUGACCCCUUCCUCAAUGUUUCUAGCCUUCACUCUCCAUUGUCUUUUCUGGGCUGUAUUACAGCCCUCUGUGGAUCUUCAACUCUGCUGCCUCCACUGUGAUGCAGCAGUCCAACUGUAACUGACAGUGGCUGCCUUCUCUGGGCCAUGGAUCACACCUGUAAGGUACUAAUUACUGCCCAGCCUGGGGAGAUCAGGAGAGGUCUGCAUAGUUAGUAAGUUGGGUUUAGCUUUUGUGUGUGCAUCAGUGACUUAGAGUUCUGUAAUAACUUAUUGUAAAUGCAUGAAGCACUGUUUUUAAACCCAAGUAAAGACUGCUUGAAACCUGUUGAUGG
rnacentral:lncRNA from 10 species